CUGACUUGCUCCCUACUGUAUUGUUUGCAGGGCAUGUGGGAAAUUUUUGGUUUGCUCUUUUGGAAAUUCCUCAGCAGGACACAGUGUGACAAUCUGCUGGUGCUUCCAGAACUGUGAGUUACUGUAUUACCCCUCUCAGCCGUAGCAAGUGAAAGUUUUGCUUCUGCUAAGCUGUGUGACAGCUCCCAGAUGCACCCGCUAGUCUGCCUUCCCAGCAAACCUUCAGGACUCUGCUAGUCCAAACCUUGUCUUGAAGAAGGCCUGGAGAACCAGCUGUUGAUACUUCAUCUGGGAAACUGACACCUAAAACCUUCCUCCUCACAAAGGAAUCCAACUCUAUCUGAAUAAUUUUGAAUUGGCAGUAGCAAUUUGUAAAAUUGCAUCCCACUAGUGAAUCAUAACUCAUUUUGGGGAUCUAUUGUAUUUUCUACAAACCUUCUCUUGCUGGGAACAGACAGGAACUCUGGGAGACAGAGAUAGGUAAUUUACACCCUUUUCCUCAGUGGUCACAGCUGCCAAAAGAAAUACUGCUGCUCCUGGAAAGGAAGUAUGGACAUACUCAAAAUACCCUCAUACAUUCCCGCUGCAACCCCUGCUCAUGAUGAAAGCCCUUCCAGUCUGGGUUGGUCAAAAGUUUGGUGUGUGGAAAGCCUUUAGAGAGAAUCUCUUCCUUCCAGAGCCUUUGCCGCUUGCCACUCACAAGUUCAAAUCCAACUGGGUUGACGGUCACCAUCUGAAGUUGAUUUGCUGUUUUAAGUCAAAUGAAUUUGGUGGGUCCCAUCCAUUUCUUAAUGGAUAGCUAUUCCCAAAUCACCAGCACUACCAGCACUAACAGUCAGACUCAGGUGACAGUCUCAACAGAGAGUCCAAGGAGGGGAUAGGUCCUUCAUAUGGUCCCUCCAGGGUUUCCUUGAGGUACAUUGACUGUUGCCUAUAUGGUACCUAUUCUAUGGAUAAAUGGAAGGCAUUUGUUUCCACUGCUGUCAUUCCUACUACCCGUCAUCAGAACUAAAUUUACUUGUGUUUUCAGGUUUCUGUAAUGACACCCAUCAUCAGAGUGCCUGAGCACUUUCCAAAGACUUAAACUCCAGAAACAAAGCUGGAAGGCUGCCAGGGAGAAGGACUGCUGUCCCCUGUAAAUUCCUUUUAUGCGAGCCACUGAGAUCCAUUAGAUGCCAAGAUGAAUGAACAGUAGUAAGAAGACAGCACCACUCUGGGGCCCAGGUCUUAUGGGAGGUGGUUCUAACUGAUGCAGUUCUUCAGCUUCCAUUAAAUUACCUGCCAUCUAUCUAGAUGGUGUCAUGCUAAGCCCAGCUCAUGGUUUUCUACCC